rnacentral:rRNA from 1 species
AGUGAACGCUGGCGGUAGGCCUAACACAUGCAAGUCGAACGGCAGCACAGUAAGAGCUUGCUCUUACGGAUGGCGAGUGGCGGACGGGUGAGGAAUACAUCGGAAUCUACUUUUUCGGGGGGGAUAACGUAGGGAAGCUUACGCUAAUACCGCAUACGACCUACGGGUGAAAGCAGGGGAUCUUCGGACCUUGCGCGAUUGAAUGAGCCGAUGUCGGAUUAGCUAGUUGGCGGGGUAAAGGCCCACCAAGGGGAGGAUCCGUUGCUGGUGUGAGUGGAUGAUCGCCGACAUUGGAACGGGGACAGCGACCAGGGUCCUGCGGGAGGCACCAGUGUGGUACAUUGGGCAAUGGUCGCAAGUCUUAUCCAGCCAUACCGCGUGUGUUACGAAGGCCUUCGGGUUGUAAAGCCCUUUUGUUGGGAAAGAAAAGCAUUAGGCUAUUACCACGCGUUACUGACGGUACCCAAAGAAGAAGCACCGGCUAACUUCGUG